AGCAGCCGCGCGGUAAUACGUAGGGUGCGAGCGUUAAUCGGAAUUACUGGGCGUAAAGCGUACGCAGGCGGCUUUGCAAGACAGAUGUGAAAUCCCCGGGCUCAACCUGGGAACUGCAUUUGUGACUGCAAGGCUAGAGUGCGGCAGAGGGAGAUGGAAUUCCGCGUGUAGCAGUGAAAUGCGUAGAUAUGCGGAGGAACACCGAUGGCGAAGGCAAUCUCCUGGGCCUGCACUGACGCUCAUGCACGAAAGCGUGGGGAGCAAACAGGAUUAGAUACCCGGGUAGUCCCUGUCUCUUAUACA
rnacentral:rRNA from 1 species